GGCUGAUCUGAAGGUAGUGAGUUAUAUCAAUUGUUUGUUCAUAGUCAGUUAAAAAUCGAACUCCUGUUUCUACUUCCCAACUUCUCGCCAUUGCAUUUGACUAGUCUAAA
ensembl:misc_RNA Y_RNA Y RNA